UACAGAGGUCCCAACCGUUGUUCGGAUUCAUUGGGCGUAAAGGGUGUGUAGGUGGCGCCGUAAGUCGGGUGUGAAAUUUCGGAGCUUAACUCCGAAACUGCAUUCGAUACUGCGGUGCUUGAGGACUGGAGAGGAGACUGGAAUUCAUGGUGUAGCAGUGAAAUGCGUAGAGAUCAUGAGGAAGACCAGUGGCGAAGGCGGGUCUCUGGACAGUUCCUGACACUGAGACACGAAGGCCAGGGGAGCAAACGGG
rnacentral:rRNA from 1 species